AGCUUUCUUAGACUUGUUUGCCCACUUUUCUCUCUGCUGUAAAGCCUUGACGAAAACAUCAUAUAUUAGUGUUCAUAAGUUCUUCAGUCUUGUUAGCAAAAAGAAAAAGAAAUAAGAUGAUAAACCCCAGUUUCUUGUUCUUUCAUCUUUUAACUUUCAAACAUAACACUAGAAAACUAGCAGAUAUGCCACAUAACUCAUACCUUGUAAUCAAAGUAAAUGAUAAGCGCUACAGUAAAAACUUUCACACGCCUCUUAUAGAUGUUUCCCCAUCCCAUUGUUUGUAGCCUGUUUGAGAAAUGUACUUCUAUCUAAGAAGGAACAGAUCUGAAAGAAAGGAGACUAAAGAAAGAGUUAGUUUGGAAAAUAUGAGUUCUAUCAUCCUGCUAAACCAGCAUGAGCAAUAGCACUUAAAGGAUCCAAAAGAAGUUCUGAAAACUUUAGUUCAGAAAUAACGGCUCAAUGGUAAACUUACAAACUAUGAGAACAGUUAUGAAGACUGAGGUUCAGAAAUACUAGCUCAACGGUAAACUAACAGACAAGAAGUCACUCUAUGUCUAUCAAUGUAAUGUCAAUAUUGGGAGGUAUAUCAAAUUAUAGGAAGCCCUCCCCCAACCCAAACGGAAAAAACAAAAGAAAAUAAAAAAAAUAAAAAGCAAGAAAGUAGGGAUUGUCAUGCGAACAAGCAAAUGAAUGAUCUCCUAUAUAUCAAAACUUAGUUAGCACAUGGACUAAAACCAGAUUACUCAUACCUGUGGUGUCAUUUGGUAAAGACCAAUCCAUAGUAAAGGAGUAAUUACGAAGUAAAAUUAGAGUAAACGAAAUAUCUGCACA
rnacentral:lncRNA from 1 species